AGCAGCCGCGGUAAUUCCAGCUCCAAUAGCGUAUAUUAAAGUUGUUGCAGUUAAAAAGCUCGUAGUUGAAUUUCGGGGUUAGUAGGUUGGUCGUGCCACUGGUACGUACUGGUCUCACUGACUCCUCCUUCCUGAUGAACUGUAAUGCCAUUAAUUUGGUGUUGCGGGGAAACUGGACUGUUACUUUGAAAAAAUUAGAGUGUUUAAAGCAAGCUAACGCUUGAAUACAUUAGCAUGGAAUAAUGAAAUAGGACGUUCGAUCCUAUUUUGUUGGUUUCUAGGAUUGACGUAAUGAUUAAUAGGGAUAGUUGGGGGCAUUAGUAUUCAAUCGUCAGAGGUGAAAUUCUUGGAUUUAUUGAAGACUAACUACUGCGAAAGCAUUUGCCAAGGAUGUUUUCAUUAAUCAAGAACGAAAGUUAGGGGAUCGAAGACGAUCAGAUACCGUCGUAGUCUUAACCAUAAACUAUGCCGACUAGGGAUCGGAUGAUGUUAAUUUUUAAUGACUCAUUUCGGCGCCUUA
rnacentral:rRNA from 1 species